GCAGGUAAUGUUGUCAAAAGUAUGUUCAGUCCACAUAAUGGACAAUAGUAUUGGGACUAAACCACGGCCUAUGCAAGAAAAAGUGAGCUUAAAGAAGCGGGGUAAAGUUAAAUAUAGAUGAAUUCAUCGCUAUCGAAAAGAAGUGUGUAGAGAAGGAUAUAAGGUGGGUGGAGGAAGUAGCAUUAGUUCUUCUGCGUCGGCGAAGUAUGGCGAAAGUUUACGUCUGGAACAUUCUUCUCCUUUUAACCGUAUUAGCCCUUCUGAGUACAUUGGAACAAGGAGUCGAGGCAGUUCCUCUUCGAAGGAAAUUCGGAGGAGGGAAUGGCAGUGGCGCUGGUAGGAGUCGCCAAAAAGUUUCUACCACUACUCAUAGGUGUAACACCCGGCCCUACGGCCGUAGGUGAUAUACGGACAUGGACCACAACGUUAGCAUGUACUCGGCGAGAACCUUUGUACAGCGAAAUGAAAUUGAAAAGGAAAUAAUGUUAUUGAUUGCCAAAUGAUUGCUCAAGGAAGAGGACGCCGCUGAUACGAGGAAUGGUCCUCACCGCUUGUCAGCCACUUCAAAGAAGGAAAUUCACAAUAAAAAGGCUCUUCGAAGAAGGCUCUUUGAAUUACUGCA